rnacentral:ncRNA from 18 species
AUAAAACUUUAGGGGUGCCUUCAAAUAAGUUGGCUGAGAACAUACCCAUUUUGAGGUUAAAGGUAGAAGGUAAAAAGGUAGAGGGUAAUGUCCUUCAGCCUUAAAACCCUCCAACCAUCAACCUCAAAUGAACCUGAUCCGGAUAAUGCCGGCGUAGGAAAUUAGUUUGUCUGCUAUA